rnacentral:rRNA from 1 species
AAGACCUUGCGCUUUUGGAGCGGCCGAUGUCUGAUUAGCUAGUUGGUAGGGUAAUGGCCUACCAAAGCUUCGAUCAGUAGCUGGUCUGAGAGGACGACCAGCCACACUGGGACUGAGACACGGCCCAGACUCCUACGGGAGGCAGCAGUGGGGAAUUUUGGACAAUGGGCGCAAGCCUGAUCCAGCCAUGCCGCGUGAGUGAAGAAGGCCUUCGGGUUGUAAAGCUCUUUCAGCCGGGACGAAACGGUUACGGUUAAUACCCGUGAUUACUGACGGUACCGGAAGAAGAAGCACCGGCUAACUACGUGCCAGCAGCCGCGGUAAUACGUAGGGUGCGAGCGUUAAUCGGAAUUACUGGGCGUAAAGCGUGCGCAGGUGGUUUUGUAAGUCAGAUGUGAAAGCCCCGGGCUCAACCUGGGAACU